UACGAAGGGGGCUAGCGUUGUUCGGAAUUACUGGGCGUAAAGCGCACGUAGGCGGAUCGAUCAGUCAGAGGUGAAAUCCCGCAGCUCAACUGCGGAACUGCCUUUGAUACUGUCGGUCUAGAGUAUGGAAGAGGUGAGUGGAAUUCCGAGUGUAGAGGUGAAAUUCGUAGAUAUUCGGAGGAACACCAGUGGCGAAGGCGGCUCACUGGUCCAUUACUGACGCUGAGGUGCGAAAGCGUGGGGAGCGAACAGG
rnacentral:rRNA from 1 species